rnacentral:rRNA from 1 species
GGCGCAAGCCUGAUGCAGCCAUGCCGCGUGUAUGAAGAAGGCCUUCGGGUUGUAAAGCACUUUCAGUCGUGAGGAAGGUGGUGUAGUUAAUAGCGGCAUUGUUUGACGUUAGCGACAGAAGAAGCACCGGCUAACUCCGUGCCAGCAGCCGCGGUAAUACGGAGGGUGCGAGCGUUAAUCGGAAUUACUGGGCGUAAAGCGCAUGCAGGUGGUUUGUUAAGUCAGAUGUGAAAGCCCGGGGCUCAACCUCGGAAUAGCAUUUGAAACUGGCAGACUAGAGUACUGUAGAGGGGGGUAGAAUUUCAGGUGUAGCGGUGAAAUGCGUAGAGAUCUGAAGGAAUACCGGUGGCGAAGGCGGCCCCCUGGACAGAUACUGACACUCAGAUGCGAAAGCGUGGGGAGCAAACAGGAUUAGAUACCCUGGUAGUCCACGCCGUAAACGAUGUCUACUUGGAGGUUGUGGCCUUGAGCCGUGGCUUUCGGAGCUAACGCGUUAAGUAGACCGCCUGGG